rnacentral:rRNA from 1 species
GGACGGUACCUUUCGAGGAAGCCACGGCUAACUACGUGCCAGCAGCCGCGGUAAUACGUAGGUGGCGAGCGUUGUCCGGAAUUAAGUGGGCGUAAAGGGAGCGCAGGUGGGACUUCAAGUCAGUCUUAAAAGUGCGGGGCUCAACUCCGUGAUGGGAUUGAAACUGUAGUUCUUGAGUGCAGGAGAGGAAAGCGGAAUUCCUAGUGUAGCGGUGAAAUGCGUAGAUAUUAGGAGGAACACCAGUGGCGAAGGCGGCUUUCUGGACUGUAACUGACACUGAGGCUCGAAAGCGUGGGGAGCGAACAGGAUUAGAUACCCUG